CAAGUGCUCACGGGUGUGCAGACCCAUCUGGAGAGUCCCCUACCGGGCGUGCAGCGUCAGGGCAUGAUCGUCGCUGAGCACUUCAGCCGCACGAUGAAACUUAGCGACAAAGAGCUCAAGUUUGAGUACAAAGAGAGUGAUGAGGUGAAGCGACUGAUGUCCCUGGCGAUUCUCCCAACCGAUCCCGGACCGCUAAGAAAUAAAAAGUGUGCUGGUCAAAAAUCUAGAAAGGGAAGCCAAGACAGAAGAAGCAGCAGUCGUGUGAAGGGCAGUGACGAUAGAACAGGUAGCAGCGAUAGAAGGGAGAGCAGAGAUAGUUUGAGUAGCAGUGGGAGAAAGGACAGCAGUGAUAUUAAUGGUAGCAUGAGAGAAGGGAGAGCAGCGAGAGAAGGAAGAGCAGAGAUAGUUUGAGUAGCAGUGAGAGAAGGGACAGCAGAGAUAGUAAGGGUAGCAGUGAGAGAAGGGAGAGCAGCGAGAGAAGGAAGAGCAGAGAUAGUUUGAGUAGCAGUGAGAGAAGGGACAGCAGAGAUAGUAAGGGUAGCAGUGA